rnacentral:rRNA from 1 species
CAGCAGCCGCGGUAAUACGAAGGGUGCAAGCGUUACUCGGAAUUACUGGGCGUAAAGCGUGCGUAGGUGGUGGUUUAAGUCCGUUGUGAAAGCCCUGGGCUCAACCUGGGAAUUGCAGUGGAUACUGGAUCACUAGAGUGUGGUAGAGGAUAGUGGAAUUUCCGGUGUAGCAGUGAAAUGCGUAGAGAUCGGAAGGAACAUCUGUGGCGAAGGCGACUAUCUGGGCCAACACUGACACUGAGGCACGAAAGCGUGGGGAGCAAACAGGAUUAGAUACCCGCGUAGUCCCUGUCUCUUAUAC